GACCAAGCGGUGGCCUAAUUGGUUAGUCGUGUUGGACUCUGGAUUGAGCGGUCCCGGGUUCAAUCGCUGGCUGGGUCA